rnacentral:rRNA from 1 species
AUUGAACGCUGGCGGAAUGCUUUACACAUGCAAGUCGAACGGUAGAGGGGGCAACCCCUUGAGAGUGGCGAACGGGUGAGUAAUAUAUCGGAACGUGCCCAGUCGUGGGGAUAACGUAGCGAAAGUUACGCUAAUACCGCAUACGAUCUAAGGAUGAAAGCGGGGGAUCGCAAGACCUCGCGCGAUUGGAGCGGCCGAUAUCAGAUUAGGUAGUUGGUGAGGUAAAGGCUCACCAAGCCAACGAUCUGUAGCUGGUCUGAGAGGACGACCAGCCACACUGGAACUGAGACACGGUCCAGACUCCUACGGGAGGCAGCAGUGGGGAAUUUUGGACAAUGGACGCAAGUCUGAUCCAGCCAUUCCGCGUGCAGGAUGAAGGCCCUCGGGUUGUAAACUGCUUUUGUACGGAACGAAAGGUUUCUAUUAAUACUAGGAGCUCAUGACGGUACCGUAAGAAUAAGCACCGGCUAACUACGUGCCAGCAGCCGC